GAUGAACGCUGGCGGCGUGCCUAAUACAUGCAAGUCGAGCGAACGGACGAGAAGCUUGCUUCUCUGAUGUUAGCGGCGGACGGGUGAGUAACACGUGGAUAACCUACCUAUAAGACUGGGAUAACUUCGGGAAACCGGAGCUAAUACCGGAUAAUAUUUUGAACCGCAUGGUUAAAAAGUGAAAGACGGUCUUGCUGUCACUUAUAGAUGGAUCCGCGCUGCAUUAGCUAGUUGGUAAGGUAACGGCUUACCAAGGCAACGAUGCAUAGCCGACCUGAGAGGGUGAUAGGCCACACUGGAACUGAGACACGGUCCAGACUCCUACGGGAGGCAGCAGUAGGGAAUCUUCCGCAAUGGGCGAAAGCCUGACGGAGCAACGCCGCGUGAGUGAUGAAGGUCUUCGGAUCGUAAAACUCUGUUAUUAGGGAAGAACAUAUGUGUAAGUAACUAUGCACAUCUUGACGGUACCUAAUCAGAAAGCCACGGCUAACUACGUG
rnacentral:rRNA from 1 species